rnacentral:misc_RNA from 1 species
AAAAUAAACAGAUUAACCCAGAAAAGAUAAGCCCGGAGCAAGCAAAAAACCGAUGGGUGGUCAUUUUAUUCUUUAUUUCGACUCGAACACAGCUGAAACAUCUCGCCUCAAUCACGGUACUCUUCCAUAAACUUUUCAUGAAAUGCCUUGAGCCUGGUGAUAAUGGCCGGAAUCUUCUCCUCUUGAGGCAGGAUAGUGCAUCUUAUAUGCCAUGUUCCGGGUACCUGUCCAAAG